UACAGAGGUCUCGAGCGUUGUUCGGAUUCAUUGGGCGUAAAGGGCGCGUAGGUGGCGCUGUAAGUCGGGUGUGAAAUCCUGAGGCUUAACCUCGGAACUGCAUUCGAUACUGCGGCGCUUGAGGACUGGAGAGGAGACUGGAAUUCAUGGUGUAGCAGUGAAAUGCGUAGAGAUCAUGAGGAAGACCAGUGGCGAAGGCGGGUCUCUGGACAGUUCCUGACACUGAGGCACGAAGGCCAGGGGAGCAAACGGG
rnacentral:rRNA from 1 species